CGUGAGGAACCUGCCUUUCAGAGGGGGACAACAGUUGGAAACGACUGCUAAUACCGCAUAACAUAUGUUUGUCGCAUGGCAGAUAUAUCAAAGAUUUAUCGCUGAGAGAUGGCCUCGCGUCUGAUUAGCUAGUUGGUAGGGUAACGGCCUACCAAGGCGACGAUCAGUAGCCGGACUGAGAGGUUGGCCGGCCACAUUGGGACUGAGAUACGGCCCAGACUCCUACGGGAGGCAGCAG
rnacentral:rRNA from 1 species